CCUCGUGGCAAGUGAACACGGCUUGUUUAUUCAGCGCUCACGAGUGGAGGAGGCAUCACUGAGUGACGUUCACGGGGAACAGGAACCGUGGCGGCAGCAGCAGAAGAGUGACAAGGAGGCGGCUGGCCACCGCCAGGUGAGCGGACGGGCGGGCGAGUGCCCGGAGUGACUGAGCGAGUGCUGGGUCAUCAUCAUCAUCAUCCUCCAUCGCCCCGACUGCUGUGAACCUCCGAGUCCUACCGGGUCCCGGACGCAGCGACGAGUAACACACACACUGACACACACCGACACACACACUGACACACACCGACACACACACUGACACACGCCGACACACACACUGACACACACCGACACACACACUGACACACGCCGACACACACACUGACACACACCGACACACACACUGACACACACAGUGACACACACACUGACACACACCGACACACACACUGACACACACCGACACACACACCGACACACGCCAAUAUAUAGGCCACCGACGAAGCGUGAUCGACCUCAAGAAGGAAACAGCGGCCACCCCUUCUGCACUCCCAGCGGGGACCUUCCGGGUUCGCAGCUCGAGGCGGGCGACGAUGCCGAGGAGGGAGGAGGGCUGCCGAGACGCGCCACGGCACCGCGCCCAGGCUGGUCGCCUCUCUCGGUCCGUGGGGCACCGCGAGCCCCGGGCGACGAUGGCCCUUCGUCGACAUUAUCAGCCCAGCGGGGAAUUGACGACGGCCACGAGUUGCCGGCGAGACUUGGACGAUUAAAAAACAAAAGGCUGACAGAGAUAUAAGAUAUUUGGCGCUCGGGUUGAUGUAUUUAGCAACACGGAGUAAGUAGACCGCUGAGUGUUCCGUGGAGCCAGCGAGUAGCCAACGAUGAUGCAGACAGCGACGAGAAGGAAACUGCAACUAUUUGGACGCAUGGGUAGGAUGGACAAGAACAGGAAUAUUAAAAGUGUUGUUGUCGUUGUUGUUCGGAAGAGAGAGAGAGGAAGAGCUGAUAGAGAACGGCGUGACGACGAGGACACGAGAGGGUUGGUGCCAGAAACACGUGGCCACUGCAUGAUGGGGCGCAUUGGACCGAGACAGAGAGGAGAGUGGAAACAAAUGACGACAUUUGCAGCAGACACCUACCACGGGCUACCUGCCCAUGGGUCGUGAUGAUGACGAUGACGACGACUUGCCAAGAGCGAAGAGGCUUUACCCUUCCCCUCAGAUGUGCAAAUACCAAAUAGACACAUAUUGCAAGGCGCCAUUAAGUCUGCAUUCGCCACGCAUCAUGCUCGUGGGGAAAAAAGCACAUGCACACAGACGUGCUUUGAUAAUAAUGAUGUUCGCAUCAGCUCUGACACUGAUUGGCCAGAGAGAGCCUCCUUCAUGGCCCUGUCUCGCCACCAGCGUCAGGGCAGAGAACUACGCCAAGAGGCGAGCAGCACAAACACAACCGUUGUCUAUUCUGUGUUUGAACAUCUUAUAACACCUCCUGUAUUCUUGCCGGGAAGGGUAAAGCACAUUCGUUUUGCAACAUUUCAGUAACGACUGCUAAGUCCAUGUUUUCUUCUUGAGCGCGCUGAUGGCAGCAGCAGCAGCACGCGUCGAAGAGCCCGAUGUCAGUGUGGAGGUUCCGCCGCUGCUGCUGCUGCCAGGACGAGAGGGUCUUCCGCAAAGAGAGAGAGAGACGGAGAGAGUUCGUGUCGCGUCGCUCUUUCUCCUCCGUUGGAGGAGCGCAGACUACAGUCGUGUUUACUCUGCGAUCCGUAGCUUGUGUUGCACGGCCACAAUCGCACUCGUGUGGCUUGCAUUUAAUGUAUCUACAUGUAUCGCUAUGGGUGUCUAUGUAUCUAUAUGGGUCUCUAGGUAUCUUUACGGGUCUCUAUGUAUAUCUGAUGUAUGUUGAACUUCUUUCGCACCGUACCUAGCAAACCGUGCUAAUGGGAGGUGCGAAGUGAGCGGUGUUUGGUGAAGUGACGGAUGUUUGUUUUUCGGCACCAGUUUUCACAUUUAGUGUCUCAUCAGUGGGGGCCCUGCUACGGUCCGUGGCGAAUGCAUCCGGGGAUUGUGCCCCUCACUUGGGGAUGCGUGGAGCCGCUGGACGAAGCCCCCCCCCCAAGUUGUCGCCCUGCCUCAUUGAUCCUGCGAUGGAAUGAUCCAUCGCGAGUCCAUCCGAUCACGGUGGGAGACGCACUUGCUCGCAACGUGGGGGGAGGGCUGGACGACCUGAUGAUGAGAAACAAAAAUUUUCAAUUUAUUUUUUACAAAAACAUUUCUGAUAGUCUACUGUUUUGUUUGAAUAGGUGAUGGAAGACUUCGGACUGAGCUAUUCGUAGAGAGGGCUGCAACGUUGUGUGUGUGGAGAGCGGUGGCGCAGUGGUGAGCGCAUUGCACUUACGAACCCGGCGACCCGAGUUUGAUUCCCGUUCACCGCCACUGCUCACCAGCGACGAUUAUCGGAACCGGUCCUCCCCUAGGUCGGCUCGCCGGAACAAAAAAAGCGAGUACCUUGCGUGGUGUGCGUGUAAACAUGACCACGAGGGAGACAAAGGCGGCCGGGCGUCGUGUUUUCCACACCACCACCUCGCGUGCCGUGCCGGUCUUCAUAUCUGCUUCUCGCCAACAGCAGCGCUUGCCCCCCACACGACGCUCUAUUAAAGUGGGGGGGGGGGGGGGGGCUUUGUCGGUGUGCGAGGGACGGAAGUGGAUCGGGUCCCUUUAAAUAGCCCGUCCGCUCCGUCCGCUCCGUCCGCUCCGUCCGCUCCGGGUAAUUUCGCAUGAAUGGAAUUCGUGGAAUUUCGUCUCUUUCCUGGAAAGGGGAAGCGACGGAUGGAAAUUUCAAACCGCGAUGAGUGGCGGCGGCGGCGGCUCCAAAUCAGUUUUCAAAUGUGCUUAAUUAUUUAAUUUCGAUCUCUCUCUAUGCAUUUUUGUCUCCGCCUCGUUUCGUGAUUUGUUUGAAUGUGAACAUGUAACGACGCUUACAGUGAAAUACAGAUCGCAUUGUGAUGCUGCUGCUGCUGCAUUGGCAGCGGCGCGCGAGUCCUGUGAAGAACGUCACUCAUCAUCACUCACCGUGCCCGCUCCGUGACGACGCCGUGUCUGUGUGUGGUUGACCCAAGAAGAAAAAAAUAAAAAUAUCAAAAGCAACUUUUCUGGAUGUGUUAUGCAGAAGGGCCAUUACCCGAAACGUCGACAACUAUAUACAAUUUAUUUUAAGGCUAUACAUUGUUGCUAGCGAAU